rnacentral:rRNA from 1 species
CAGUCGCCGCGGUAAAACGAAGGGGGCUAGCGUUGUUCGGAAUUACUGGGCGUAAAGCGCACGUAGGCGGAUAUUUAAGUCAGGGGUGAAAUCCCGCAGCUCAACUGCGGAACUGCCUUUGAUACUGGGUAUCUUGAGUAUGGAAGAGGUUAGUGGAAUUGCGAGUGUAGAGGUGAAAUUCGUAGAUAUUCGCAGGAACACCAGUGGCGAAGGCGGCUAACUGGUCCAUAACUGACGCUGAGGUGCGAAAGCGUGGGGAGCAAACAGGAUUAGAUCCCGUGUAGUCCCUGUCUCUUAUACA